UACGAAGGGGGCUAGCGUUGUUCGGAAUUACUGGGCGUAAAGCGCACGUAGGCGGACUAUUAAGUCAGGGGGUGAAAUCCCGGGGCUCAACCCCGGAACUGCCUUUGAUACUGGUAGUCUAGAGUCCGGAAGAGGUGAGUGGAAUUCCUGGUGUAGCGGUGAAAUGCGCAGAUAUCAGGAGGAACACCAGCGGCGAAGGCGGUGCUCUGGGCCGGAACUGACGCUGAGGAGCGAAAGCGUGGGUAGCGAACAGG
rnacentral:rRNA from 1 species